AGUGAACGCUGGCGGUAGGCCUAACACAUGCAAGUCGAACGGCAGCACAGUAAGAGCUUGCUCUUACGGGUGGCGAGUGGCGGACGGGUGAGGAAUACAUCGUAAUCUACUUUUUCGUGGGGGAUAACGUAGGGAAACUUACGCUAAUACCGCAUACGACCUACGGGUGAAAGCAGUGGAUCUUCGCACCUUGCGCGAUUGAAUGAGCCGAUGUCGGAUUAGCUAGUUGGCGGGGUAAAGGCCCACCAAGGCGACGAUCCGUAGCUGGUCUGAGAGGAUGAUCGGCCACACUGGAACUGAGACACGGUCCAGACUCCUACGGGAGGCAGCAGUGGGGAAUAUUGGACAAUGGGCGCAAGCCUGAUCCAGCCAGACCGCGUGGGUGAAGAAGGCCUUCGGGUUGUAAAGCCCUUUUGUUGGGAAAGAAACGCAGCAGGUUAAUACCCCGCUGUUCUGACGGUAACCAAAGAAUAAGCACCGGCUAACUUCGUG
rnacentral:rRNA from 1 species